ACGAACGCUGGCGGCGUGCUUAACACCUGCAAGUCGAACGCUGAAGCACCAGCUUGCUGGUGUGGAUGAGUGGCGAACGGGUGAGUAAUACGUGAGUAACCUGCCCUUGACUCUGGGAUAAGCCCGGGAAACUGGGUCUAAUACUGGAUGCUACAUGUCACCGCAUGGUGGUGUGUGGAAAGGGUUUACUGGUCUUGGAUGGGCUCACGGCCUAUCAGCUUGUUGGUGAGGUAAUGGCUCACCAAGGCGACGACGGGUAGCCGGCCUGAGAGGGUGACCGGCCACACUGGGACUGAGACACGGCCCAGACUCCUACGGGAGGCAGCAGUGGGGAAUAUUGCACAAUGGGCGAAAGCCUGAUGCAGCGACGCCGCGUGAGGGAUGACGGCCUUCGGGUUGUAAACCUCUUUCAGCAGGGAAGAAGCCACAAGUGACAGUACCUGCAGAAGAAGCGCCGGCUAACUACGUG
rnacentral:rRNA from 1 species